rnacentral:rRNA from 1 species
CAGUCGCCGCGGUAAAACGUAGGUGGCAAGCGUUGUCCGGAAUUAUUGGGCGUAAAGCGCGCGCAGGCGGAUAGGUCAGUCUGUCUUAAAAGUUCGGGGCUUAACCCCGUGAUGGGAUGGAAACUGCCAAUCUAGAGUAUCGGAGAGGAAAGUGGAAUUCCUAGUGUAGCGGUGAAAUGCGUAGAUAUUAGGAAGAACACCAGUGGCGAAGGCGACUUUCUGGACGAAAACUGACGCUGAGGCGCGAAAGCCAGGGGAGCGAACGGGAUUAGAGACCCGUGUAGUCCCUGUCUCUUAUACA